AAUCAACGCUGGCGGCGUGCCUCAGACAUGCAAGUCGAACGAUUAAGACUCCCUUCGGGGAGUGCAUAAGGUGGCGCACGGGUGAGUAACACGUAAGUAAUCUACCUUCGAGUGGGGAAUAACGUUCGGAAACGAACGCUAAUACCGCAUAAUGCAGCGGCAUCUAUGAUGACAGUUGUUAAAGAAUUUAUUCGCUUGAAGAGGAGCUUGCGGCAGAUUAGCUAGUUGGUAAGGUAACGGCUUACCAAGGCGACGAUCUGUAUCCGGUCUAAGAGGACGGUCGGACACACUGACACUGAAUAACGGGUCAGACUCCUACGGGAGGCAGCAGUCGGGAAUUUUGGGCAAUGGGCGAAAGCCUGACCCAGCAACGCCGCGUGAAGGAUGAAGUUUUUCGGAAUGUAAACUUCGUAAGAAUAGGAAGAAUAAAUGACGGUACUAUUUGUAAGGUCCGGCUAACUACGUGCCAGCAGCCGCCGUAACAC
rnacentral:rRNA from 1 species